rnacentral:tRNA from 1 species
AAUGAAAUGCCUGAAAAAAGGAUUACUUUGAUAGAGUAAAUCAUGCACCUAGCUGCUUUCAUUA